rnacentral:piRNA from 1 species
UGAAAAGAUUUUGUUUUGCCUUUCUA